GUGCCAGCCGCCGCGGUGAAUACGAAGGUCCCAAGCGUUGUUCGGAAUCACUGGGCGUAAAGCGUGCGUAGGCGGCAUGGUAAGUCAGAUGUGAAAGCCCGGGGCUCAACCCCGGAACUGCAUCCGAUACUGCCAAGCUAGAGUAGUGGAGGGGAGUCUGGAAUUCACGGUGUAGCAGUGAAAUGCGUAGAUAUCGUGAGGAACACUAGUGGCGAAGGCGAGACUCUGGACACUAACUGACGCUGAGGCACGAAGGCUAGGGUAGCGAAAGGGAUUAGAUACCCCCGUAGUUCC
rnacentral:rRNA from 1 species